rnacentral:rRNA from 1 species
AGGACGAACGCUGGCGGCGUGCUUAACACAUGCAAGUCGAACGGUGAAGCCCCUUCGGGGGUGGAUCAGUGGCGAACGGGUGAGUAACACGUGAGUAACCUGCCCAUGACUCUGGGAUAACUGCGGGAAACCACAGCUAAUACCGGAUACGACCUGUGAAGGCAUCUUCUGCAGGUGGAAAGAUUUAUCGGUCAUGGAUGGACUCGCGGCCUAUCAGCUAGUUGGUGGGGUAACGGCCUACCAAGGCGACGACGGGUA